rnacentral:ncRNA from 2 species
UUCUUAUCAAGAGAGGCGGAGGGACAGGCCCGAUGAAGCCCGGCAACCGGUUCAUUUUUUGAAAUGGACGUCGCGGUGCCAAUUCCUACAAGAUUGGUUGGAUCUUGAUAGAUGAGAA